rnacentral:rRNA from 1 species
UACGUAGGGUGCGAGCGUUAAUCGGAAUUACUGGGCGUAAAGUGUGCGCAGGCGGCAGAGCAAGUCGAGUGUGAAAGCCCCGGGCUUAGCUUGGGAAUUGCGCUCGAAACUACUUUGCUGGAGUGUGGCAGAGGAAGGUGGAAUUCCACGUGUAGCGGUGAAAUGCGUAGAGAUGUGGAGGAACACCAAUGGCGAAGGCAGCCUUCUGGGCCAACACUGACGCUCAUGCACGAAAGCGUGGGGAGCAAACAGG